rnacentral:rRNA from 1 species
UACGUAGGGAGCAAGCGUUGUCCGGAAUCAUUGGGCGUAAAGCGCGCGUAGGUGGCCUCAUAAGUCCGUUGUGAAAGUCAAAGGCUCAACCUUUGAAAGCCGAUGGAUACUGUGAGACUAGAGUACGGAAGAGGCGAGUGGAAUUCCUGGUGUAGCGGUGGAAAUGCGCAGAUAUCAGGAGGAACACCAGUAGGCGAAGGCAGGCUCUGGGCGUUACUGACACUGAGGCGCGAAA